GACUGCCUGCUGUGCCAGUGUGAGUUACAGACUGCAGACUACUCCAGUCAAGUUCAAUGUGCUGAUUGCUGGAGAGGCAGAAUGAGGUAGCUAGUUAAACUAGAACCAACCACCCACCAGCUUUAGAACAGAAACGUAUGUCUUCCGCUUUAUUCCAAACCCCACCGAAAAGAGAACAGGAUUCGCUAGAGGAGCUUCAGUAGAGAGGAGUUUCAGUAGUUUCAGUAGAGAGGAGUUUCAGUAGUUUCAGUAGAGAGAGGAGUUUCAGUAGUUUCAGUAGAGAGGAGUUUCAGUAGAGAGAGGAGUUUCAGUAGUUUCAGUAGAGAGGAGUUUCAGUAGAGAGGAGUUUCAGUAGUUUCAGUAGAGAGAGGAAGAGGAGUUUCAGUGGUUUCAGUAGAGAGAGGAGUUUCAGUAGAAAGAGGAGUUUCAGUAGAGAGAGGAGUUUCAGUAGUUUCAGUAGAGAGAGGAAGAGGAGUUUCAGUAGUUUCAGUAGAGAGGAGUUUCAGUAGAGAGGAGUUUCAGUAGUUUCAGUAGAGAGAGGAGUUUCAGUAGAAAGAGGAGUUUCAGUAGAGAGAGGAGUUUCAGUAGUUUCAGUAGAGAGAGGAGUUUCAGUAGAGAGGAGUUUCAGUAGUUUCAGUAGAGAGAGGAAGAGGAGUUUCAGUGGUUUCAGUAGGGAGAGGAGUUUCAGUAGUUUCAGUAGAGAGAGGAGUUUCUGUAGUUUCAGUAGAGAGAGGACUUUCAGGAGUUUCAGUAGAGAGAGGAGUUUCAGGAGUUUCAGUAGAGAGAAGAGUUUCAGGAGUUUCAGUAGAGAGAGGAGAUUCAGUAGAGAGAGGAGAGUGUGAGAGAAAUAUAUGUUCCUGACAGGAAGGUCGGAGGAUUUCCCCUCCUGAAUAGACUCCAUGAUGGAGCGGAUAUCCUCCCUCCCAACUCAGCUCGCUGGACUGGCGCUUUGCACCGUUUCAUAACAGAAUAAGGACCUGAGCCCUAGGACCAUGCCCCAGGACUACCUGACAUGAUGACUCCUUGCUGUCCCCAGUCCACCUGGCCAUGCUGCUGCUCCAGUUUCAACUGGCCUGGGCCCUAGGACCAUGUCCCAGGACUACCUGACAUGAUGACUCCUUGCUGUCCCCAGUCCACCUGGCCAUGCUGCUGCUCCAGUUUCAACUGUUCUGCCUUACUAUUAUUCAACCAUGCUGGUCAUUUAUGAACAUUUGAACAUCUUGGCCACGUUCUGUUAUAAUCUCCACCCGGCACAGCCAGAAGAGGACUGGCCACCCCACAUAUGCUCUCUCUAAUUCUCUCUUUCUUUCUCUCUCUCGGAGGACCUGAGCCCUAGGACCGUGCCCCAGGACUACCUGACAUGAUGACUCCUUGCUGUCCCCAGUCCACCUGACUGUGCUGCUGCUCCAGUUUCAACUGUUCUGCCUUAUUAUUAUUCGACCAUGCUGGUCAUUUAUGAACAUUUGAACAUCUUGGUCAUGUUCUGUUAUAAUCUCUACCCGGCACAGCCAGAAGAGGACUGGCCACCCCACAUAGCCUGGUUCCUCUCUAGGUUUCUUCCUAGGUUUUGGCCUUUCUAGGGAGUUUUUCCUAGCCACCGUGCUUUUACACCUGCAUUGUUUGCUGUUUGGGGUUUUAGGCUGGGUUUCUGUACAGCACUUUGAGAUAUCAGCUGAUGUACGAAGGGCUAUAUAAAUACAUUUGAUUUGAUUUGAUUUGAUUUGAAUGUACAAAACAUUAAGAACACCUUCCUUAUAUUGAAUUUUAUUAAUAUUAACUAUUAAAUAUUUUAUCUUGUACAUUUACCCUCUAAAGGGCACAUAUACACAAUCCAUGUCUCAAUUGUCUCAAGGCUGAACAAUCAUUCUUCAACCCGUCUCCUCCCCUUCAUCUACACUGAUAGAAGUGGAUGUAACAAGUGAAGGCAAUAAGGGAUCAUAGCUUUCAUCUGGAUUCACCUGGUCAGUCUGUGUCCAUGGAAAGAGCAGGUGUUCAUAAUGUUUUGUACACUCAGUGUAUAAACUGAAUAACAGAGCAGCGAAAACAUUAUAAUGUGAAGUCCCUUUAAGUCCUUUACGAAAGCAACUAUAGAGUUGGAUAGAGGGAGCUAAAGAAACUAUAGAGUUGGAUAGAGGGAGCUAAAGAAACUAUAGAGUUGGAUAGAGGGAGCUAAAGAAACUAUAGAGUUGGAUAGAGGGAGCUAAAGAAACUAUAGAGUUGGAUAGAGGGAGCUAAAGAAACCAUAGAGUUGGAUAGAGGGAGCUAAAGAAACUAUAGAGUUGGAUAGAGGGAGCUAAAGAAACUAUAGAGUUGGAUAGAGGGAGCUAAAGAAACUAUAGAGUUGGAUAGAGGGAGCUAAAGCAACUAUAGAGUUGGAUAGAGGGAGCACUUGGCCACAAAGCCUGUUUUAACAUGGGCAGUGCUAUUGAGAACGUCUACCAUUUUGAAAUAGUCAACUGGGUGGGACUUCUUAUCAACCUAUAGUACCAGUCAAAUGUUUGGACACACCUACUCAUUCCAGGGUUGUUCUUUAUUUUUUACUAUAGUCUACAUUGUAGAAUAAUAGUGAAGACAUCAAAACUAGGAAAUAACACAUAUGGAAUCAUGUCGUAAAUCAAACCUUCAUGGUUGAAUUGCUGCAAAGAAACGACGACCAAAGGACACCAAUAAUAAGAAGAGACUUGCUUGGGCCAAGAAACACGAGCAAUGGACAUUAGAGCAGUGAAAAUCUGUCCUUUGGUCUGAUGAGGCCAAAUUUGAGAUUUUUGGUUCCAACCGCCGUGUCUUUGCAGGAAACAUACUUCGUUUCAUGGAAACAUUGCUCUCUCGGGAUACUCUGUUGGAGUCGGUAAAGCCAGCAGGAUUCUAAGUACAUCGCUCAGACAGGAAUAAAAAUCUCUCCGGGAUGAAGGGGUGGAGGGGUAUGUUUCAUGAUUAACGACUCAUGGUGUAAUUCUAGGAACAUACAGGAACUCAAGUCAUUUUGUUCACCCGACAUAGAAUACUUCACAAUUAAAUGCCGACCAUAUUAUCUCCCAAGAGAAUUCUCCUCCAUUAUCGCCACGGCCGUUUACAUCCCACCUCAAACCGAAACAUCGACGGCCAUCAAAUAACUUUACUGGACUUUAUGCAAACUGGAAACCACAUAUCCUGAGGUAGCAGGUAGCCUUGUGAAUAGAUUUGCCCGCCCUUCUUUUGGCAAAUCUGACCACGAUUUCAUCUUGCUCCUCCCAUCCUAUAGACAGAAACUCAAACAGGAAGUGCCCGUGCUUCGUACUAUUCAACGCUGGUCUGACCAAUCGGAAUCCACGCUUCAGGAUUGUUUUGAUCACAUGGACUGGGACAUGUUCCGGGGAGCGAAAAUAAUCUAGACGCAUACGGACACGGUGACUGAGUUUAUAAAGAAGUGUAUAGGAGAUAUAGUACCCACUGUGACUAUUAACUCUUAAGGAUUAGCCCUUUUUUUUUUUUUUUUUUUUUUCACCUUUAAUGACAUACCCAAAUAUAACUGCGUGUAGCUCAGGUCCUGAAGCAAGGAUAUGCAUAUUCUUGCUACCAUUUGAAAGGAAACACUUUGAAGUUUGUGGAAAUGUGAAAUUAAUGUAGGAGAAUAAAACACAUUAGAUCUGGUAAAAGACAAUACAAAGAAAAAACAAACCGUUCAUUUUUAAAAUGCAAGAGAAAGGCCGUAAUGUAUUAUUCCAGCCUAGCUGCAAUUUAGAUUUUGGCCACUAGAGGGCAUCAGUGUAUGUGCAAAGUUUUCGACUGAUCCAAUGAACCAUUGCAUUUCUGUUCAAAAUGUUGUCUCAAGACUGCCCAAAUGUGCCUAAUUAGUUUAUUAAUAGCUUUCAUGUAAUGUAAUAACUACUGUAAAUUUGACAGUGUGGUUGGUUAGAUUAACAAGAAUUUAAGAUUUCUGCCAAUAUCUGAUAUGUCUAUAUCCUGGGAAAUGUUCUUGUUACUUACAACCUCAAGUUAAUCGCAUUAGCCUACGUUAGCUCAACCGUCCCGUAGAAGGGACACCAAUCUCGAAGAAGAAGAAAAAACCUACCUUAACCAGAAAACCGUGGAUAGAUGGUAGCAUUCGCGCAAAACUGAAAUUGCGAACCACUGCAUUUAACCGUGGCAAGGCAACUGGUAAUAUGGUGUAAUAUAAACAGUGUAGUUAUUCACUCAAACAAGCUAAACAUUUACAACUUAUUUUUUUUUUUACUUUAGUUUAUUUGGUAAAUAUUUUCUUAACUCUUUCUUGACCUGCAUUGUUGGUUAAGGGCUGGUCAGUCAGCAUAUCACGGUUGUAUUCGGCGCAUGUGACAAAUAACUGGCACGGCCCUGGCCUUAGUUAUCUUUGUUUUCCUUAUUAUCUUGGUUAGGUCAGGGUGUGACAUGGGGGAUUUAUGUGUUUUGUCUGGUCUAGGGGGGUUUUGUAUGUUUAUGGGGCUGUUUCCUUUCUAGCUAGUUUGUAGGUCUAUGGUUGCCUAGAUUGGUUCUGAAUUAGAGGCAGCUGUCUAUCGUUGUCUCUUAUUGGGAACCAUAUUUAGGCAGCCAUAGUCUGUGGGUACUUUGUGGGUGGUUGUCUUCUGUCAUUGCACCAGAUAGGACUGUUUUUGGUUUUCACAUGUGUUGUUUUGGUAUUGUGUAGUGUUCUCGUGUAUGGUCUUUAUUAAACAUGUUGAACACUAA